CUGAAGCUGCUGAUCGGCCUCUGUUAUUGUUAUUGUUGUGUUUUCUCCGUGCUUCCUGUCCGCCAUGAUGGACCCACCUGCCCCACCAAUCAGAGCCACCUGUUGAAUCCGCUUCUCCAACCUUGGCCCGCUGAUCCUCUAAAAAUAAACCCGCUUCUUCUCUCCGUCGUGUCUGCAGGUGGAGAAAGUUUGUUUUGUUGCUCCUGUCGUCUUUCAGGAGCAGAGUGAAACAGUUAAAACUCCCCAUCCUGAUGUGCUACAUCUGUCGCUUUGCUUCCAGUCCACUGCUCAAAUGGGUCAAAAGUCCUCCAGAUGCAACUUCUUCAAUCAAUCUGAACCGUGGAUCUUCUAGCUGAUGUUCUGAUUUGGGGAAAGUUUGUUCGACUUGCAGCCUGGACACGCUGCAGGUUUUAACCCCACUGAGAACCGGUCGUCAGUCCUUAAACCGAGGCCAACAAACUGAACUGGAGCUACAAACAUGCUGAACGUGUUCAAAAGAAGCCGUGAAAACGAUGCGACGGUCAUCACAGAUUGAGAGAUACCCAACUGAGCAUUCAUACAACCGGCGCUUUUCCCACAUCCAGCGCGGGUCAUAUGGGACGUAGGACCGUCGGGCUCGGAGAAAGCGCUGUGGCCUGCUGUGCCUGCGAAGUCACACAAGAGUCACAAUCUGUGCUGCUUCUGGUUUGCAAGACGUCUGCAGGCCGGGGCAGAUGGGAGCGAGAGCUGCGUCAUCUGGCGUCGCCGUGGCAAACGGGGCACCAAGGAAACCUUCGUGUAACGAGAUCCGCGCUGAGCUGACGGUGAAACCUGUCGCCCUGAGCGGAGAACCGUCAUCCAAACCUCAAUGAAACUGUAUCCAGAAAAUACUUUAAAACAGAAAGAGGGCUCCACAUGACUGUCUGAAAAUAUGAAGUAACACAAGUAAAAACAAUUGAAACAAAUCCUAGAGGAUGAACCAAAGGAUAAAAAUUUGUUUAUAUGACGAGUUUUGUGAGCAGGAAGUGAAGGAGUCUACGACCACAGAACCUUCAGUCCAUCACAGUUUUAUGUUUUCAGACUUGAUGUUUAUUGAUUAUUAAUAAGUGAUUAGUAGUUGAUUACCUUACUUACAGACCCAUUCAGCCUCAUGAUGGCCAUUACUGGUUUCAGCUGUUGAAUUGUCAACAUUAUGUCUGAACUAAAAUGAUCCGCUUUGGGUCGCAUUGGCCUGCU